ACUAAAGUGGCAGAGUAGUGCAAUAGAGUUAAGUUCUAUAAAUAGAUUGGGAGAUCUCUUUAGUU